rnacentral:rRNA from 1 species
UACGUAGGCAGCGAGCGUUGUUCGGAGUUACUGGGCGUAAAGGGUGUGUAGGCGGUUGUUUAAGUUUGGUGUGAAAUCUCCCGGCUCAACUGGGAGGGUGCGCCGAAUACUGAAUGACUUGGAGUGCGGGAGAGGUGAGUGGAAUUCCUGGUGUAGCGGUGAAAAUGCGCAGAUAUCAGGAGGAACACCGGUGGCGAAGGCGGGUCUCUGGGCCGUAACUGACGCUGAGGAGCGAAAAGCGUGGGGAGCGAACAGG